AGUGCCUUUCAAAAAAAGGAGCAGAUGAAAGGAUUUGGACAGGCCUUGAUGGCUUCCUAACGGUGAAGGCAGCAUAGUUUAGGAUUCGGACACAGCCUGGGUGUACGCUGUCUUAGAGAAAGUGACAACCACUGAUCCCUAAAAAAUCUGUGUAAUCUCUCAAGUAAACUUGUUUGUUUUGUGGUAAAUGUUAUUUUGACAGCCAUAGCUAAGGGCUCUUGCUCGCUUUUUUCCUGGGACAUAUCUCUCCGACUUGGGACUGCGGCUUUUUAGGCACUUCUCUCAUUCAGAACAGUGAAGUCAAUGGAUCCUUACAUCCCAGCUUGACAAGUUAGGAGGAUACAAGCUAAUCCCCUUAAUCUGUCUAUUCUCCCGUGCAGUGCCAAAGGGGGAGAGGGAAAAGGUGCCUUUCAUUAACUGCUGGUGGGAUUCCUUUAGGACAGAUGCUGGAGGUCCGCAUGAAAGGCAUGUAUUCUUCGCUUCCAGCACACAAGUCCUGGGCUUCUCCCACAGCAGAGUCUGAGAGGUGGGGACGCACCAUUGGCCUGGGCGACCGCUCCACCCCUUUACCCUCUGUCAACCCCUUUAUAAUUCGAACUCUAAUGCUUUUAAAAAGUGUUUGACAGAUGGAUCAGAUUCCUCUGCUUACUGAGGAUACAUGUAGCAGACCGACAAGGAUAAAUGACCAGGACAAUGUGAGAGAUGCUGCCUGUUCUGUUCAUUUGUGUGCAGCAAUGCAACGCUCUUUUUGUGUUUUUUUUUCUGUAACAUUUAAUGAAUGUCUUUUGGACAGUUGCUACUUUUCUUUUUUUGGAUCCGA